rnacentral:rRNA from 1 species
UCGGGAAUUUUGGGCAAUGGGCGAAAGCCUGACCCAGCAACGCCGCGUGAGGGAUGAAGUAUUUCGGUAUGUAAACCUCGAAAGAAUGGGAAGAAUAAAUGACGAUACCAUUUAUAAGCUCCGGCUAACUACGUGCCAGCAGCCGCGGUAAUACGUAGGGAGCAAGCGUUGUUCGGAUUUACUGGGCGUAAAGGGCGCGUAGGCGGCGCGGUAAGUCACUUGUGAGAUCUCUGAGCUUAACUCAGAACGGCCAAGUGAUACUGCUGGGCUAGAGUGCGGAAGAGGCAACCGGAAUUCUUGGUGUAGCGGUGAAAUGCGUAGAUAUCAAGAGGAACACCGGAGGCGAAGGCGGGUUGCUGGGCCGACACUGACGCUGAUGCGCGAAAGCCAGGGGGGCAAACG